UACGUAGGGUGCAAGCGUUGUCCGGAAUUAUUGGGCGUAAAGAGCUCGUAGGCGGUUUGUCGCGUCGAAUGUGAAAACCCGGGGCUCAACCCCGGGCCUGCAUUCGAUACGGGCAGACUAGAGUUCGGUAGGGGAGACUGGAAUUCCUGGUGUAGCGGUGAAAUGCGCAGAUAUCAGGAGGAACACCGGUGGCGAAGGCGGGUCUCUGGGCCGAAAUUGACGCUGAGGAGCGAAAGCGUGGGGAGCAAACAGG
rnacentral:rRNA from 1 species